UGAGAAUUGUACUUCCUGGGCAUUUCACUCAAGCAAACAGAAGUAGGACAGAGGAUCCUGGCAGGCUACAGUCCAUGGGGUCUCAAAGAGUCAGACCAAACGAGUUACUGAGCAGACAUACACGGACAGACAGAAGCAGGACAAUGGAAGGUGGGAAGAUUACAUGUACAUGACUGACCUCAAAUCCUCCAUUUCCUCACUCCCCUCCUUCUGGCCUGUUCUUACACAUCUGCUGGGUUGUAAACAGAUCUGUCAACACCUGUCUUUCCAUAGACGCCCUUCUGCAAGGUCACAAAUGUGAGCAGAUUCUGCCUUUCUGCAGUCCUGCUCCUGGGUACCCUGGUGGCCAGCAUUCUGGGUUGUAAAACCAGCAACUGGGUCCAGAGUAAGUCCCAGCUCGCCUCUCCUCUACAGACUGGAGAGAAAGGAGGUGAGUGCAUGGAAGGAGUAGGAAGAAGGGUGUGGUGGAUGCUGCCAGCCCUCUCUGGAUUUCUCCUCGGAAUGCAUUCCAUCAUUUGAAGAUGUGGCCUUAGAUACCAUGGAAUCGAAGAUUCUCAUCAUUCUGAUGGAGAUACUGAGGAACAGAAGCAGAGAUAUGACCUGGAGUCCCAGAGGGUUGUGUGUCCUGAGCAAGUGGCAUUAUCUCUCUGAGACUCUGCUUUCUGCUUGACACUGUGGUAUGAGAAUCCUGGAUGUUGUAGGAUUGACAUGAGGCUAAAUGAAAUCAUACAUGUGGAAUGAUUCAGGAGAGAGGGACCCUCCACUCACAGUGGCUUCUUUUGUGAGUCACCCACUCCCGAUGCCCUUCUGUCCUAAGAGAGCUUGGUACUGUGAGCUCAAGCCCUGUUCAACGGUGCUAUGUGGUUGUAGCUACAAGCAAAUAAACAAGAGUGGGUGAAGGCGUGGUGGGUGUGACAUGUGUGCACUGUAAUUUCCAGCUUGCAGUUCAACAGAGCGCAAGUGCACAGACUCUAAGUCAGAUUGCUGGGUCCAAAUCCUCUCCCUCCAAGCUAUGACCUAAGCAAAUUAUUUCUUAUUAUUUCAGGGACCUCUUGUGUUACAUGGGGAUAUAUCAACGGUUUCUCCCCCUUUCUUUCAAGAUUUUUUAGAAUUAGAUGAAUUACAUGUUUCAUGUGUCCAGGAUAAUGCCUGCAACAAUGAAGAAUUUAAAUGUUACCUGGAGUAAUUACUCAUCACUGUUAUUAAUGCUACUACAAAGAAUUUGACUUCUAGGGAGAAGGAAUACAUGCCUGUUGUAUCCAUUGCUUUUGUGGCAACCACAUGAUGUGGGCAGCACGGAUCUCAGGAGGCACCCGAGGACAUGCGGGUUGAGGGUUUUAAAUUCUCUGGCCCACAGUUAGGAAAAUGCACAGCUGGUACCCAAACCAAGGAAUUACGCUCCAUCGCCAGUGAGAGCGGGAAGAAGGGGGUGGCUAUGGCAGUCUUCCGAGGUCCCCUGAUGUCCACUCAUGGAGAAAGCUCUCCUGUUACUGAAACCAGAUGAGGGAUGACUGUGG